rnacentral:ncRNA from 1 species
AACUUCGUAUAGCAUACAUUUAUACGAAGUUUAUACGAGCAGGGCGCGCAAAUUACCCACUCUCAACAUGAGGAGGUAGUGACGAGAAAUAACGAGACCGAUCUCUUAUGAGGCCGGUCAUCGGAAUGGGUACAAUUUAAACCCUUUAACGCUGAGACUGCCCAAGGCACACGAGGGG